AUCGGCUGGUUGAGUGGCCGCGUUUCUUUUCCAUCAACCAUUUUGUCUCUUCUGCACCGUGCGUUACUUUGUGCACUUCUAAUCGUUUAGAAAAUGUGGCCGUCACUGUUCAAAUAAAAUGUGGGAACAGAUUGGAUUACGUUUUAAGUGGUACAGUGGGCACUGCCUCAAGAAGUCAACAUCCAUCAUCAAAGAUCUCCACCAUCCAGACCAUGCCCUCUUCUCUCAGCUCCCAUCGGGCAGGAGGUACAGAAGCCUGAAGUCCCACACCACCAGACCUGCUGUCUCUGUUUCUGAGUUUGGUGUUCAGGUCGGAGGUCGCGAGUGACAAGAAGGUACAAGUUGGUACCACUAAAGAACGGAAAAGUACUGGGGUAAUAAGUUAUGUGAAGUUUUUGAGGGGUAUAAAAGGGUGCACCUUCUUUGUGCAAUCCGGGACCUUCCCUUAGGCUGGGUCACGACCGGUGGUAAGACACAGACAGAAAGCUGCGUGAAAGGCUGUUGGAUCUGAGGACCUGAGGAUCCCUCUGGCACUAUGUAGAUUUUAUUUACAAAUUAAAAAUAUAUUUUUUUUAAAAAUUAGAUUCAUUGAUUGGUUGAUAAGUAUUAUUUUACUUCCUUCUGUAUUUUAAGUAUUCUUCC